rnacentral:siRNA from 1 species
UAAAUGAAGUAAUGCCCGCUGC